UACGUAGGGUGCAAGCGUUAAUCGGAAUUACUGGGCGUAAAGCGUGCGCAGGCGGUUGUGUAAGACAGAUGUGAAAUCCCCGGGCUCAACCUGGGAACUGCAUUUGUGACUGCACAGCUGGAGUGCGGCAGAGGGGGAUGGAAUUCCGCGUGUAGCAGUGAAAUGCGUAGAGAUCGGGAGGAACACCAGAGGCGAAGGCGGCGACCUGGACAGUUACUGACACUCAACUACGAAAGCGUGGGGAGCAAACAGGG
rnacentral:rRNA from 1 species